rnacentral:rRNA from 1 species
GGACGGCCCGCCAGAGGACCCAAACUCUAAUGUUUCUUAUUGUAACUUCUGAGUAAAACAAACAAAUAAAUCAAAACUUUCAACAACGGAUCUCUUGGUUCUGGCAUCGAUGAAGAACGCAGCAAAAUGCGAUAAGUAAUGUGAAUUGCAGAAUUCAGUGAAUCAUCGAAUCUUUGAACGCACAUUGCGCCCGCUGGUAUUCCGGCGGGCAUGCCUGUUCGAGCGUCAUUUCAACCCUCAAGCCCCCGGGUUUGGUGUUGGGGAUCGGCUCUGCCCUUCUGGGCGGUGCCGCCCCCGAAAUACAUUGGCGGUCUCGCUGCAGCCUCCAUUGCGUAGUAGCUAACACCUCGCAACUGGAACGCGGCGCGGCCAUGCCGUAAAACCCCAACUUCUGAAUGUUGACCUCGGAUCAGGUAGGAAUACCCGCUGAACUUAAGCAUAUCAAUAA